ACGAACAAAAAUGCGUUAAAUCUAGUCUAUCUAGUAUCCAUUAUACAUUACCGAGUAGUCCUAACUUACAUAGAAAGGAUUAUCUGGCAUACCUUGUUGGAUUUACUGAGCGCUUGUUGAACUUCAAGCACCUCUCCUUUUGUAAUUUUCCAACUUCAACUUCACUGAAGGCGAGAUUUUACAAGUCUGUCGUUCGCCUUCUUGCUCUAGCUUGGACUCUUG
rnacentral:lncRNA from 1 species